CCUCCCGUUCUUGGCGGGCCCCGGCGGGCCCGUGCCGGGGUCUGUGAUGUGCGGAGGGAAAGCAGAGAGACCGGCGCGAAGUCUUCGGUGCCGGCGGUCGCGUCCGCCGGUCCCACCCUCACACGCCGGGACAGAC